rnacentral:rRNA from 1 species
UACAGAGGGGGCAAGCGUUGUUCGGAAUUACUGGGCGUAAAGGGCGCGUAGGCGGCCCGCUAAGUCGAACGUGAAAUCCCUGGGCUCAACCCAGGAACUGCGUCCGAUACUGGUGGGCUUGAAUCCGGGAGAGGGAUGUGGAAUUCCAGGUGUAGCGGUGAAAUGCGUAGAUAUCCGGAGGAACACCGGUGGCGAAGGCGACAUCCUGGACCGGUAUUGACGCUGAGGCGCGAAAGCCAGGGGAGCAAACGGG